AGGUUUUUCCACUCUUGUUGAGAAGCUGAAAUUCAUCAUGCUCGGACUUGAUAUUCCUAAAGCUGGAGAGGAAGGGAAAAGUCACCCAACAAGAUCCUGCUGACUGGAAAGAGGGGAAGCACCACAGAACAAGCAUCGCUCCUCUCCCUGUGAAAACUCUGCCUUAUCAGCGAUGGCUCCUCAGCACCUUUCAGAUAAGAAGCCCGGGGCCCCCAGGCUGCUCCUGUCCUUCAGCCAGAGCUCCUCCUGCUCCACAGCCCUGCAGCAAUUUAAAGCAUCCAGAAAUGGGCCUUUCAUUUAGAAGAACAUGAAAUUGAAGUAAGAAUAAUGCCUGCUGAUGUAGCUGUCUGCUACCAAAUCACAUCACUCAGCC